ACUGUUGCAAUUCCCAUCAACUUUAGAGAAGGGCUUGAGAAAGUUGUCUAAAAAAAAUAGAUUUGGCAGUAUGUUGACUCAAGUACUUGCAUUAUCCUUAGGAAAUUCAUGCAACAAUGCUAUUCAAAAAGAUUUCCUUAAAGUUGGAUGCGCUGUCUCACUUCCAUUUUGCUCCAAAGCCGGUUAUUGAGGACAUGUCUAUACAAGUCAAUGUACUUGCUCUAGCA